UGGUGGCUCCUUUGAGCAUGACCGGAUACUACAAUUAAAGAAUAAAACAGGAUAACAAUCAAAACUAAAACAACAAAAAGGUGGAUAAAAAUUGAGGCGUAUAAAAACAACCGGAAACCCUCACCCCACUACGGACGUGAUAAUACUUCUUUUCCUCAAGCUCUUUUAUUGAAUAAUUUUGGUAGUCGGAAAAUAAAUGCCAUACAGAAAAAUUUGUAUUCAAGAGUGAUUGUAAGUAUUCUGCGAAAGAUAAACAUUUGAUUAAUAAUAGAGGGAU